UACGUAGGCAGCGAGCGUUGUUCGGAAUUACUGGGCGUAAAGAGUGUGUAGGCGGUGCUCUAAGUUCGGUGUGAAAUCUCCUGGCUCAACUGGGAGGGUGCGCCGGAAACUGGGGUGCUGGAGCGCGGGAGAGGAAAGCGGAAUUCCUGGUGUAGCGGUGAAAUGCGUAGAUAUCAGGAGGAACACCGGCGGUGUAGACGGCUUUCUGGACCGUAGCUGACGCUGAGACACGAAAGCGUGGGGAGCAAACAGG
rnacentral:rRNA from 1 species